CCCUUAGAUGUUCUGGGCCGCACGCGCGCUACACUGAUGAAUUCAACGAGUAUACUUUUUCAUUUGAAAAAUUCCUUGGUUGAGAUGCCUGGGUAAUCUUGUAAACGUUCAUCGUGAUGGGGCUAGAUUAUUGCAAUUAUUAAUCUUAAACGAGGAAUUCCUAGUAAACGCAAGUCAUCAGCUUGCACUGAUUACGUCCCUGCCCUUUGUACACACCGCCCGUCGCUACUACCGAUUGAAUGGUUUAGUGAGGACUCCUGAUUGGCGCCGCCGCCCCGGCAACGGAGCAGCGGACUGCCGAAAAGUUGUUCAAACUUGAUCAUUUAGAGGAAGUAAAAGUCGUAACA
rnacentral:rRNA from 1 species